rnacentral:rRNA from 1 species
GAGUGAACGCUGGCGGUCGGCCUAACCCAUGCAAGUCGAACGGCAGCACAGUAAGAGCUUGCUCUUACGGGUGGCGAGUGGCGGACGGGUGAGGAAUACAUCGGAAUCUACUUUUUCGUGGGGGAUAACGUAGGGAAACUUACGCUAAUACCGCAUACGACCUACGGGUGAAAGCAGGGGAUCUUCGGACCUUGCGCGAUUGAAUGAGCCGAUGUCGGAUUAGCUAGUUGGCGGGGUAAAGGCCCACCAAGGCGACGAUCCGUAGCUGGUCUGAGAGGAUGAUCAGCCACACUGGAACUGAGACACGGUCCAGACUCCUACGGGAGGCAGCAGUGGGGAAUAUUGGACAAUGGGCGCAAGCCUGAUCCAGCCAUACCGCGUGGGUGAAGAAGGCCUUCGGGUUGUAAAGCCCUUUUGUUGGGAAAGAAAAGCAGCAGGUUAAUACCCCGCUGUUCUGACGGUACCCAAAGAAUAAGCACCGGCUAACUUCGUG